rnacentral:rRNA from 1 species
UUUAACUGAAGAGUUUGAUCAUGGCUCAGAUUGAACGCUGGCGGCAGGCUUAACACAUGCAAGUCGAGCGGGGGAAGGUAGCUUGCUACCGGACCUAGCGGCGGACGGGUGAGUAAUGCUUAGGAAUCUGCCUAUUAGUGGGGGACAACAUCUCGAAAGGGAUGCUAAUACCGCAUACGUCCUACGGGAGAAAGCAGGGGAUCUUCGGACCUUGCGC